GAUGAACGCUGGCGGCGUGCCUAACACAUGCAAGUCGAGCGGACUGACAUAGUGGAACCCUUCGGGGAGAAGCUAAGGAAGUUAGCGGCGGACGGGUGAGUAACGCGUGGGCAACCUGCCCUGUGCAGGGGGAUAACAUGCCGAAAGGCAUGCUAAUACCCCAUAAGACUAAAGUACCGCAUGGUAAAUUAGUCAAAGAUUUAUCGGCACAGGAUGGGCCCGCGUCUGAUUAGCUAGUUGGUGGGGUAACGGCCUACCAAGGCGACGAUCAGUAGCCGACCUGAGAGGGUGAUCGGCCACACUGGAACUGAGACACGGUCCAGACUCCUACGGGAGGCAGCAGUGGGGAAUAUUGCACAAUGGGGGAAACCCUGAUGCAGCAACGCCGCGUGAGCGAAGAAGGCUUUCGAGUCGUAAAGCUCUGUCCUAAGGGAAGAAUAAUGACGGUACCUUAGGAGGAAGCCCCGGCUAACUACGUGCCAGCAGCCGCAGUAAAAC
rnacentral:rRNA from 1 species